ACAGAGUCAGUGACAGAGAGAGAGAUUGAGAGGGAUAGAGAGAGUAAAAUCGGGAGAGUGAGAGUGGAACAGAGAGAGAGAUUGAGAGAGAAGAGAAAUAGAGAGAGAGAAGCAGAGAUCGAGAGAGACAAAGAGAGAUGCCGAGAAGAAGACCCGACCCCCGGGAGGUCAGAUUUUCCGACCAACCACGGUGGGUCGGAGCAGAGGACGCCGGCAAUGCUAUUUCCGGCGGGCCAGGUGUUGUUCCGGCCGAACACCGCGACCCGUGAGCCCAGAAAACCCGAGAGACCCGAGAACCCGUGACUCACGAUCCGUGACCCAUUGAACCCGACGGCUUGAAGUUUGGUUUUUCCGGCGAUUUUCGGUGGUUCCAGUGGCGAUUUCCGGUGGGUUGAAGCAGAGGCGAAGCCCGGUGGCCGGAGAACACGAUUUCCGGCGAGACAGAGCUGGGUUUUCCGUGGGUCGUCGUCGGAGGCGAUUUCUGGUAACUUGGGAGGCGAUUUCCGGCGAGAAAUCAGACCGGUUUCUCUGUCUUUCUCAGUGAUUUUUCCGGUAGAAGCUCGACUCCGAGGCUAACGGCUAGUCCAGAUGACAACCGUAAGAAGAAGUCUUUUUCUUGUAAGGGCAUAGACCUCGCUGAGAGCGAUUGUUCGUGAUGAACCAGCCAAACCCUAAUAUUGUAUAGUAUGAUUUGUUACUUUUGAAGUUCAUGUAAUUUUGUAUAGAUUUAUAAAUAGAAAGGUUUAAGAGAGUAGAAGUUUUAAAUUUAUUUGUUGUAAUUGCACGUUUCCAAUUUAUGAUUGUAGUACUCAAACUCACGUUUCCCUUAUUUCCCAAAACGGGGGCGUGACAAUACAGGCCCGUGGCCCACACCAUGCAUUUGUUUU